UGAGGAAUAUUGGUCAAUGGGCGCAAGCCUGAACCAGCCAUCCCGCGUGAAGGAAGAAUGCGCUAUGCGUUGUAAACUUCUUUUCCAGGGGAAUAAAAUUUCGUACGUGUACGGGACUGAAGGUACCUUGGGAAUAAGCAUCGGCUAACUCCGUGCCAGCAGCCGCGGUAAUACGGAGGAUGCGUGCGUUAUCCGGAUUUAUUGGGUUUAAAGGGUGCGUAGGCGGAAAAAUAAGGCAGUGGUGAAAGCCUGCAGCUUAACUGGAGACAUGCCAUUGAUACUGUGAGUCUUGAGUAUAGUUAAGGUAGGCGGAAUGUGUAAUGUAGCGGUGAAAUGCUUAGAUAUUACACAGAACACCAAUUGCGAAGGCAGCUUACUGAGCUAUAACUGACGCUGAUGCACGAAAGCGUGGGGAGCGAACA
rnacentral:rRNA from 1 species